CGAAAGGGGGGCAACCCCUGAGUAGAGUGGCGAACGGGUGAGUAAUACAUCGGAACGUGUCCAGUAGCGGGGGAUAACCUCUCGAAAGAGAGGCUAAUACCGCAUACGACCUACGGGUGAAAGAGGGGGAUCGCAAGACCUCUCACUAUUGGAGCGGCCGAUGUCGGAUUAGCUGGCUGGUGGGGUAACGGCCCACCAAGGCGACGAUCCGUAGCUGGUCUGAGAGGACGACCAGCCACACUGGAACUGAGACACGGUCCAGACUCCUACGGGAGGCAGCAGUGGGGAAUUUUGGACAAUGGGCGAAAGCCUGAUCCAGCCAUGCCGCGUGAGUGUAGAAGGCCCUCGGGUUGUAAAGCUCUUUCGGCGGGGACGAAAAGGUCCGUGCGAACACCACGGAUCCAUGACGGUACCCGCAGAAGAAGCACCGGCUGACUACGUGCCAGCAGCCGCGGUAAUACGUAGGGUGCAGGCGCUAAUCGGAAUUACUGGGCGUAAAGCGUGCGCAGGCGGUCUAUUAAGACAGGUGUGAAAUCCCCGGGCUUAACCUGGGAACUGCGCUUGUAACUGAUAGGCUGGAGUGUGGCAGAGGGGGGUGGAAUUCCACGUGUAGCAGUGAAAUGCGUAGAGAUGUGGAGGAACACCGAUGGCGAAGGCAGCCCCCUGGGCUAACACUGACGCUCAUGCACGAAAGCGUGGGGAGCAAACAGGAUUAGAUACCCUGGUAGUCCACGCCCUAAACUAUGUCAACUGGUUGUCGGGGAAGCAAUUCCUUGGUAACGAAGCUAACGCGUGAAGUUGACCGCCUGGGGAGUACGGCCGCAAGGUUAAAACUCAAAGGAAUUGACGGGGACCCGCACAAGCGGUGGAUUAUGUGGAUUAAUUCGAUGCAACGCGAAAACCUUACCUACCCUUGACAUGCCAGGAACCUCCAGAGAUGGAGGGGUGCCCGAAAGGGAGCC
rnacentral:rRNA from 1 species